CGCUCAUCCAGAGGGGCAGAGGGACACGGCCCGAUGAAGCCCCGGCAACCCUCCAGCUGUCUUGUCACGUCGACGUGUCGAGGUCCGGCUAGGGAAGGUGCCAAAUCCGUCUCACGGCGAGAUGCGUCGUGAGGAAGAUGAGGA
rnacentral:ncRNA from 2 species